UUAAGGGUUAGUCUAAUUCUCAGAUUGUAGUGCCAAGAAACUUGCUCUUUUGGCCACGCUAGUAAUCCCCAGCUAGGGAGGAAGAAGGGCUCGAUGGAAGGAAAUCCCUCUUGGAGUGUCUUUGAUGGAAUUAAAACUAUCCCAUCAACUCCAGAAGCUCUCAUGGCAGAGAUUGACACAGCUAUUAAAAAUUUGGAAUAUGCUCGUGCAACUGCACGCCUUGAUCCUCCAUCUACUUCCCACUUAAAGACUAAGAGCCCCAGGGGGGGUGCAUCUCCUCAAUAUGAUGCCCGAAUGGCAGACGAGGCUUAUAGGGCAGGAUGUGCAGCAUUAGCUGCAGGGAAGCUUGAUGAAGCUCUUCACUCCUUGAACAUUUCUCUUUUGAAAUGUCCUCCUGAUAAGACCUCCGCUGUUGCCAAGCUUCAGUCUCUCAUUUCUUUAACAUCACAGCAACUCCAGAAAUUGCCCAGUUGACUUAAUAGAGCUGCAAGUCAUUUCUACUCGAUUGUGUUUGCAUCAGAGUAGCUAAAAGGGGAAGUGGGUGGUGCAGCAAUUCUCCUUCCAAAGCUGAUUGUAGUCAUUGUUGAUGCAGUCAGUGACAUGGGUUGCUCAGUUGCUAUUUGCUCAGUGGUUUCAGCAUCAGGAUCAGCC
rnacentral:misc_RNA from 1 species